GCUAAUUGAGAAGCUAACUUGCACCCACAUUGCAGAUACAAGACCAUGGGGUCACAGGCUCACAUUCUCAGCCUUCUUCUCCUUUGGAUCUCUGACAGCAGAGCAGAAACAAUACUCACUCAGUCUCCAGCAUUCCUGUCUGUGGCUGCAGGACACAAAGCCACCAUCCACUGCAAAGUCAGCACAGAUAUUGAUGAUGACAUGCACUGGUACCAACAAAAGCCAGGAGAAGCCCCCAAGCUCAUCAUUAAAGGUGUUUCUACUGUUGUUUCUGGAGACCCAUCCCGGUUCGGUGGCAGUGGGUAUGGAACAGAUUUUACCCUGACAAUUAAUGAUGUGAAGUCUGAGGACGUUGCAUAUUAUUUCUGUCAGCAUGAUGAUAAUUUUCCUUACACAGUGAUACACUCUGUUACAAAAACCUACUCAGUGUUCUCAGUGAGACUGUCUCUGCGGCUACUGAAGAUGUUCAACAGGGGAACUAGUCCCACUGUGGUGUUUGCUUCAUGCACAAGUGAGUUCACUUCCUCUUUCCUGUUCUGUCACUUCUACUCUCACUUCUCCCAUACUGUUCUUAACAAACCUGAUGUGGAAAAGAUUAGAACAGCUUUUCCCACUUUUUUUCUGUUCAAUUCUUGUAAAAAAAAAAAAAAAGUUCCUGAUUUUUAGUGUCCACCUGAUUUCCACCUCCAAGAAAUAAGUUGAUAACCAAGAUGGAUCUAAUUAAUGUUCCAAAUAAUAUUAAUAAAGACCAUUCUUGAUCUUUCUUCAACCUUCCAUACUCCUGUGACCAUAUUUCAACACCAUGGGCAAAACAAGUAAUAGGACCUUCUUGCAUUUCCAUAAUUUGUUUCAUGGAUUUCUUCUUGUUGUUUA